UACGUAGGCGGAAAAUUAAGUCAGUAGUGAAAUCCCACAGCUUAACUGUGGAACUGUUAUUGAUACUGGUUUUCUUGAAUAUAGUUGAGGUAGGCGGAAUGUGUAAUGUAGCGGUGAAACGCUUAGAUAUUACACAGAACACCGAUUGCGAAGGCAGCUUACUAAGCUAUGAUUGACGCUGAGGUACGAAAGCGUGGGGAGCGAACAGGAUUAGAUACCCUGGUAGUCC
rnacentral:rRNA from 1 species